CUACCUUCCAUCGGAACAACAGAACUGUCGCCAAGGAGUCAGACCCAUGAGCAGACACAGGCCAUGAAUCUGGAACUCACUUUCUGAGGAGAUGAAGAUGGCCAUGAACCUCCGAGCGCAGCACAUGGUCUUAUCAGCCACUCAGAGAUCUGUCAGACCUGUACCAGCAUCAGACUGUUCAGGGCAUUGCUUUUAGCUGCCUCUGUUUGGUCACAGGCUCACAGCAAUGUUGCAAAAUAUGCCAUCUUGUCUGGCUAAGCCAGGAUCUCCUUAGACAGAAGGAAAAAGGGGAGAGAAAGAAGUAAGAGUGAAGAUAGAUGGCUGCUCUGUGUGUGUGGUGAAAAGCAAAAGUCAGCUUUCAAAUUUUGGGUCUAGAUCACAAUAUGAACUUCACCAGAGUCCAAAGGGCUUUUCCGGUGCAGGGAUCUGGUUCAGACCCACAUCCGGUACAAAUAAUCAUCUGAGUGGUAAACAAGUUGGUGUGUUUUGAAAGGUACCAAGGGGAAAAAAUCAAACUCCGUCUUUAAAACGACUGAUCCCAGACGCCUGAUCGACAAGAACACUGAUAUGCCCUGGGUCUGAACAAGGAAACUCCUACAAAGCAGCAGGCGAUGUGAAGAGACGGAUUGUCCGUGGGGGCUCCUGCAGAAAUAGGCAUGCAACCAGCACAGGCAUGAAGCUGAGCAUUCAUGUGCCUGUGCAAAGCUGGUAACCGCUAUGUAGGCUCACGCGUUGCAUUUGCACUUACAUUUUUCAUAGCCCUUUUGUAAAUGCCUUAGGAAGUCAGUUAUGGGACUGAAAUAACGAGGGAUCAGAUCUUUGUGAUUCAGCUCCUGUGGGGGGGAAAUACACGAGCGAGGCCAGAUCUUGCGGUGUUGUGAACUGAAGUCUCACUACCGGGGGAGGAAGCUGUAACAUUCGGAGAGGUUCAGCUCUAUUGCAGAGUUGAAGGCAGAGCCCUAGUAAGUACACAAUGCAGAUGGACACCUGUGUGCCUGCUUUUUGUGUUUGUGUGUGUUGCAGGAUGACCCAUUGCACCCUUCUUUGCAGUUAGCUCUCACAGGCUCAGUCCUGCCAGGAGCUAAGCUCUCUGGCCUGAUCCAGCGAAACACUUCAAUCCAUGCAGCACUGAGCCCUACAGGCAUAUCACAGUCACAUUAGAGCUUUCCCAUUGUUAUGAAUCUGAUCUGAGAACUGAAAUAUAUAGAGCAGAAAUAACCAUCUAAUCUAGGGCUACACACUAGCCAAGGGUCCUGGUGCCCAGAGCUUCACUUGCAAGGUCUUUUAAUGGCGCUAGAAGCUUUCCAUGGAACUAUGUAUUUUUGUGUCACCGAUUCCCAAGGUCUGUCUCUCUUCCUCCAUGCUGAUAAUAUCUUCAAGGCUCUCGCAAGAUCCCUUGCGGUGCUGGCUUUGUUUAACCACCACCUAUUCUGCCGCCAAGCAAUUUGAGGUGGCUUGAGCUCUGGCUUCAGUGUGGCACAUUAGCUUUUGCUAUGUAGAUUGAUAGAAGUUGGUUGGCUUCAACAAGCGGGCCCUCCCUGGCAAUCAAUACAUCCAUUUGCGAGCGGGAACCAGAAG